rnacentral:rRNA from 1 species
GAAGCGGCAACAGCUCAAAUUUGAAAUCUGGCGCAAGCCCGAGUUGUAAUUUGUAGAGGAUGCUUCUGGGCAGCGGCCGUUCUAAGUUCCUUGGAACAGGACGUCAUAGAGGGUGAGAAUCCCGUAUGUGACCGGCACGUACCCUUUACGUAGCUCCUUCGACGAGUCGAGUUGUUUGGGAAUGCAGCUCUAAAUGGGAGGUAAAUUCCUUCUAAAGCUAAAUACCGGCCAGAGACCGAUAGCGCACAAGUAGAGUGAUCGAAAGAUGAAAAGCACUUUGGAAAGAGAGUUAAAAAGCACGUGAAAUUGUUGAAAGGGAAGCGCUUACAACCAGACUUCGUGGCGGUGUUCCGCCGGUCUUCUGACCGGUCUACUCGCCGCCGCGAGGCCAGCAUCGUCUGGGGCCGCCGGAUAAGACCUUGGGAAUGUAGCUUGCCUCGGUAAGUGUUAUAGCCCAGGGUGAUGCGGCGCGCCUCGGGCGAGGUCCGCGCUUCGGCAAGGAUGCUGGCGUAAUGGUUGUCAGCGGCCCGUCUUGAAACACGGACCAAGGAGUCUAACAUCUAUGCGAGUGUUCGGGUGUCAAACCCCUACGCGUAAUGAAAGUGAACGGAGGUGGGAAGCGCAAGCUGCACCAUCGACCGAUCCUGAUGUCCUCGGAUGGAUUUGAGUAAGAGCAUAGCUGUUGGGACCCGAAAGAUGGUGAACUAUGCCUGAAUAGGGUGAAGCCAGAGGAAACUCUGGUGGA